AGGACGAACGCUGGCGGCGUGCUUAACACAUGCAAGUCGAGCGGUGAUCCUCCUUCGGGAGGUGAUCAGCGGCGAACGGGUGAGUAACACGUGGGCAACCUGCCCCUCACACUGGGAUAACCUCGGGAAACCGGGGCUAAUACCGGAUACGACCUCGAGCGGCAUCUCUUGAGGUGGAAAGCUCCGACGGUGAGGGAUGGGCCCGCGGCCUAUCAGCUUGUUGGUGGGGUAGAAGCCUACCAAGGCGACGACGGGUA
rnacentral:rRNA from 1 species